UCUAGUUUGUUGAGCUCCCAAGUUAUCAAAAAGUACAUUACUGAAAAAUUAUUACUUGAAAGGCAGCAUUUUAAGGGAAGGUAACUUCAUACUAUCAUGAAGCCACAAAUUCUGUUUUGUUGCUUUCCAGGAUUAUCAGAUUCAAAGGAUUUGAUGCAUUCCACAGUUUCCCGAGCCAUCCCAAUUUUUUUUUUUUAAUAGAAAAUAGCAAAAUAAUUUUAGAGAGAACAUUUAUGGUUAAUUCAAGCUGAUGAUUUCAACUAAAAGGGGGGCAAAAUUCAAAUAAUCAAACCAACACAUUACCUUCUCUUUUGCCCAGCCAAAAGAAAAGUUAUAUAUCUCUCGGACCUUUUCUGGACAGAAUAAAUCAAAUAGAUAGUUUAAUAAUAGGAAAAAAUUCAAAAGUCUUCAAUGUAUUUUAGGGACAGUUAAUGCCAACUACGUCAACUAAUAAUUGCCACAAAAUUUGAAAUAUGAAAAUGAUCUCUACUAAAACAACCCACUUUCCCAAUAAUUUUGCCUUGAAAUGAUAACAAUGAGGAAGCACAAGGAGAUGGCAGUAAUCAUUAAGCAUACUAGAUCAUCAGUGCAAAAGUACUGUGUGCAAACCCAAAGAUUAAAUGUAGUGAUGCAAUCAAGAAAGAGAAUAGCUUCUUUGAUUAAGAACUGAGAAUUCCAUGUCAUCACAUACGACUGUCUUUAAGUUCAGAACGCAUAAAUGGUAUUCUUUCCCUGAACUUCUCCAGUGAAUCUAUCCUGCAAUUAAAGAUAUAAGCGCCAAUAUAAUCAUUGACAAAAGCUCCAACUCAGGAUUACCAACAAAACAAACAUGAUAGACUUCACUAAUAUUUACCCAAGAGACUGUAAUCCACCAAUGAAUUCCUGCUUCGAAAAUUCACACAUAGUAGCAGCCUUCAUAUGCCAUGAGACCACCAACUGCAUACUAAACAAAUCAAAUGUCAACUAAGAUCAUAUAAAAACAAUUAACAUGUUCAAAAAUGUUAAAAAUUUACAUCAACAUAAAAGUCAUUCUUCAAGCUAUUCCAGCUCCAAAAAUUGAUAUUUCCUUAAAAAUCAAAAACAGUAAAUAUGACAAUCACGACAUCCGCACUACAAUGAAUCUCCAGAAGUAGAUGCAAUCAAGAGCAAAGCUCGAAACUGCUAGCAAAACUAUUUAAUAGAGCGUUCCAUCAUUUCAUUGAAUGUAAUUCCAAGUCAUGUUCAUUAAUUUCCAGUUCUUUUUCGCUGGCGGUCAUUGGUAUUUAAUUUCUAAUACCCUAUCAUAUGAACAAGGCUUGAAGGGUUUGUGCCUCAUGAAUUGAUCCAGCAUAUUCAGUGGCAUAUUCCAAUAGAAUAACAUAGUUAUAUUUAUAAAUUAUAUAUUUACAUUGUCUUUAGGACACUUUGUUGGUGGAAAUUGGGUUUUACAUCUGGUGGUAGAAAAAGGAAAAAAAUAUGAAACAAUUUAUCGUAUGAUAAGCGGAAAACAUAUCAAAAUAAAAAAAGAAACUAAAAAAUAAAAAAUAAAAACUAUAAAACAAAUCUAACCAGAAUGUUAAUCCUUGAUAACAUAAUUCCAUUCAAUCCUACAUAAUCAAGACAUUUAGGCAAUACUACUAAUUUAGAGUACAGAAUACAAAUGCCAUACCAUGACUAUAUCCUGAGGGUCCACCUGCCAAGAAAAUGAAGGAAUUAUGUUAUUCAAACAAUAGUGAUCAGUUAGAGAUAUGCUCCCCCAUUUUUUCCAUUUUCAGAGAGGAUAAAAGGAUUUCACCUCCCCCAACCCAAAAAUAAUAAUAAUAAAAUAAAAAAUGAGGUUCAAAUUCGAGCUAGGCUUUGGCCUUCGGUUGGAGAUUUAUUUAAAAGACUACAAGCGUUACUCGAAUAACUUUGUUGGUAUCAUGGAUAAAAUAUGAUACAUGAUACCCAAUGAGAAACAAAAUUAUUUGAUUAUGCAUGCGACAAUACUUAUCAAAUCUACCUGAAGAUCAUUGCACAGGUAACUGAUUCCAUCAGCCAAAAUCAUAUCAGCGUGUGAAUCUGUAAUUGAUGAAAGCUUAUGUAAGAUUUAACUAUUAAAAAACAAAUAAUGCUCAGCACACCCAAUUUUUUAUAUGGGGGUGCUCUCAGAUCUCAUGAAUGAGAAGCCAAAUUAAUAAGAUAAGAAAAUAGUGAAGCCCAGUAUCAUUUGUUUAGUACAUGAAAAAAAUACAUUGGCUGAACGUUCACUGCCAUCCAAAAGUUUACAACAAGAAAUCCUCAAAAUUUUUCACAUUACUAUUUUGAUCACUAUAUAAAAUCACUUUUUUGUUGAGUAUUCUCACAACAGUUUUCGAGACUUAAUGCACAUCAACAUAACUCAAAAUUCAGCAAUUGAUGCUAGAUGCAAAGAACUUUAAAUGGAGCUACAAGAAAGCAAGAAUCAACAGGAAACUGACAUUUACAGAGAACAAAAAGACUAUUUACUCUGACAACAUUCAAAUAUCCCCUAUAUUCUCCAGCUUUAGUUUUCGUCACUCUGAGAGUGAAUUAGCAUUGUCAUUCCAAAGUGGAAAAAGGAACAUCCUAUAACAAAACCAACCUGGCCCAUUAAUGUAAUUUUAAAUCAUGUGCAACUUGUCAAGUAUUAUGAUCUUGGCUGGCACUAACAUAUGAGACAAUCUCAAAUAAGAAUUGAAUCCGAGUACAUUCUUUUUUUUUAUCUCAUUACUACCACUCCGAUCUUCAUCCUAUGUUUGAACCGAAAGAAAACCACUCAUUUACUAAUGAUUACUUGGGGAAUUCAUAGUAAAGAAAGUUGUUACAGAAUAGAUACUAUGAAAACUGUGUUGCGCCAAUAUGAUAAAAGAGGUUGGAAUACUAGGAAAUGAGUAGUUGAUGAAGAGAAUAUAGAGGAUUACUGGCCUAGACUAUGUUUGAUAGAUAGAUAGUUACUGCAUGGAUUUAAUUAGUUUGACAUAAUCUCAUAGUUUUGGGAAAUAGAGAUUGUCUUAUUCCUGUGCUUGAUGUGUGUGCAGAGAUUUCUCAUGUAUAGGGAGAUCUUUCUCUCUCAGCUAUGCUCUUUUUUCUCAAUGUUUUAUUUAUACAAUCCCUUUGCCGGUAUUUUACAUGUGGACAAAGCAAGACAUAACCUUCAUGAAUAUAGUGCCUUCUUAAAUCUGCACACUUUGCUUUUCUCACUCACUCAUUCAAAACUUAGUGCCACCUCCAUAUGUCUGGAGUUGAAUGAUCCACUGGCUGGGAUAGUCUCAGGUUGAUGAAGCAACCACUGUAGAGGACACCAAGACUGAAGACACUGAAAUGGAGAUUGAAACAGAUGUGGGCAAACUGAUGAAGUCGUCUGGAGAGAAGCGGAACAGGGUGAGGAAUUCAAAAGGUCCUUCAAGUUUUAAGGCCACAGCAAAAGCUUCAGCUAGGAUGAAGGUAGGAGAGAAUGUUUUGUUUUACCUGUUUCAAAAGUAGGGGCCUUGUUCUAUGUGAUCGUCGGUAAGUUAUAAAAAUUGUGUUCAACCUUCAGAAUUCUAGGCUGAAAAUGAAAUAAAAACAGUAUUCUAAACUAUAAUUUCUUGGCUAUAUGUGAUCGUCGGUAAGUUAUAAAAAUUGUGUUCAACGUUUAGAAUUCUAGGUUGAAAAUGAAAUAAAAACAGUAUUCUAAACUAUAUUUUCUCAGUUGUACUACCUGUCCAGGCCCCUUUGCAUAAGGUUUGUACAAAUGCGCACACAUAGGGGUGGACCCAUGCAGGAAGCUUUUUCCAAAUUUUCCUGGCUAUAUGUGUUUGGAAUGCUUAUCAAUAAUUGUGCCUUGUAAUGUAGGCAGUCUUUCUAUUGGCCAUGUGUAUUUUUGUCUUAUCAUUCAUACGGACAUAAUUAAAUUUUAUUGUUAUCGUCAAUUGUAAUAGAGUGCAGUUGUUUUCAUGCCAAAACUCGCUUAUCUACUCCUUAAUUAUUGCAUAUUGCAAUGUUGAAACGUCUUCUCACAUUCAUGGUUCUAGAUAUUAGUUUUCAAAUUUUCUAAAGUCUUCGAAUAUAAUUUAUCAUAUUACGUACAUUUAUUUUAUGAGCAGAAAUUGUAACAAAUAGGGAUGGUACGUAUGAAAAUGGAAUUUGCGACCAUCGUUUAAAAUACAUGACUCUUAACAUGUGCAUUUACCCAUCAGCCUUUAUUCAAUCAAUAUAUAUCUUCUGUCAAUCCUUACUAGCCUCUACAUUGCACGGGCAAGCGACUAGUUAUGAGAAUAAAGUUCAAUAUGGUUGUGAGAACACCUUCUAAGACAUUUGAAAGAAGAAAAAAUAAAAUAAAUAAUCAUGAGCUCAAGUUGAGCCAAAAAGGGAGAAAAAAUUGAACAUUAAUUUUCAAAUACUAAGCAAGGGCUGCCAUGUAUUUUUUUUUUCUUUUCACAUAUUCAGAUACAUUUUUCCUAAUUUCUAAAGAUGAUAUAUUCUAAUACUGUGUUUGUGAUUUCUUGGCAGUUUUUGCAUUCGAUAUUUCCAUAUCAACUAUAUUUCACAACAAACAAGCUGCAUUCAUUCUUUAUUCAAAUUAUAAAUUAAAUAUCUUAACAAUUGCUUCUAACAGAAUGGACCAUGAAAUAGUCAAACAACAAGAAAUACGAAUGUAUAGUUCCUAUUUUCUUUUCGAAUUUCAACCUUUAAUGAUCGACUUGUAGGCAAAGACCAGCAUUUGCUACAUACCUGAGCAACCCAUUAAUGCUUGAAGCUCCAAUCACUUGAUUUUCCCUUGUGAAUUAUGCCAUUUUCGUUCAAGUAGUCAACAAAUUCGUCAAUAAGAUAUGGCCAAGCACCUUCAGGAUCAUAGUUUGAUAAAGUAGGAUCAAUGGUCUGCAUUUACACAAAAGAGCAUAUCUGUCAUGAACGGCGAUUAGAUAAUCCUGGUGGAUCUUGGUAACCAAAAAUAAAUCAUGUGGAGUUGAGAUCCAAUAUCAAAUUCGUCUUUCUUAAUGCACCCUCAUGGGUACAAUGCUGAAAUUUUCACAUUUUGAUCAAACAAAAUUUAAAAGUCGUGCAAAAAAGAACAGAGAAGAUGUAAAAUUUUGGGUGGUGGGAAUUAAACGCAAGAGAGAGCAUGCUCCAGUCCCAAACAAAUCUUAUAUUCAUUCAUUUCAUGCACCUUAAUUUACCCUUGCAAACUCCAGUAGCUGGGACCAGGUGUCCCGAGAUAUUGCUUUGUUAUGGUGCUCCUGAAUCCAAAAAUCCAAGGAGGAGAAAAAUGUCAAAAGUGAACCAUAAAGUUAAAAAUGAACACAAAAAAACAACAAAUAAUAUUCCCAUGAUUCUUCAUAAAUAAUUCAAGCUUUGGGCACGAUCAAGCAUAUGAAAUUACAUCAAACCACAUUAGAGAGAGAUUCAAUACCACGCUCUUACCAGAGGAAAAUAGUUAAAGAGUGUUAAAAGAUAAUGUUGAGAAACAAGGCAGCAAUUAACCACACUGAUUUUAGCUUAUUUAUCUUUUUGCGGGUGAGGAAGCAAAUUAACUACAUUAACUGCUAAUUCCCUUAGUCAGUAUUUUUUUUUAGGAAAACCUUGAAUGAUACAAAGUCCACUCAGAAUCCUCUCUAUGUACACUUCUUCCAUUUAUUAUCCAUUUUCCUACCAAAAACCAAACAACUGCGCUUUUACAAAACAGUAAGACGACCGGCAAUGGAGUAUUUGUUUGGAUACAAAUACCUGAAAUCACAAAUUUUGAGCUAAUAAGACUAAAUUACAUCAGUUGAAUUAACACUCCGUUACUUCUUACAGUUCAAUUUAUUCAACAGGACAAUGGCAGAUUGAGUGGUACAAAUGAUGAGACGUGGAAUUUUUGCAUGGUAGAAUGGAGACAGACAAGGUAUGAAAUAAUUGUUUUCUAAGACAUUAAUAUUUUUUUAUACAUGUACAGAAAAUGAAUGAUAGGAUUUGAGGGAGAGGAUCCAAAUGCAGUUUGUUAUACCUGUAAGAACUGGCACCAAUAAUCAACUAAUGGCCACUGCUUUUCUGCAAAUAGCAACUGCCACAUCCCAAUUGCUGUAUCCAAUGCUAAAGACUUCUGACCCUGAAAUCAGGAUAGAAAAUCAGCAACCUGAAUACAUAGUAAUUAUCAGCUGGUUGAAUGCAAGUUAAAAGCAAUCUGAUUCACCCACAAGAUGAAAUUUUAGAAGCCUGGUAGAGGAUAAAAAGACAGAAAGCAAAGGCUUAAAGUAUUUAACUGUGCAUUGCUUCUCCUUUGGGGGGAAUAGAGAUUUUACUUAAUAUUUGACUUCUUAGAGAACAUAUAGUGCCUAUGGUUUUCUACUUCGUGCCAACAACAUUUAGUUACAGCGGGAUGUUAAUAUAUGAGACGGUGUCAACUGAAGAUUGGAUAAAAAUAUUUUUCAAAAAUUCAAAUUUUAGUUAUUAAUAUUAAAGUAAAAAAACCUGCUCAGACACAAAAGAAAUCUCACAAAUUUCAAGGUAUUAGAUGCAAAAUAUUUGAAUUCAGAAAUAGAUUCUAUUUCUUUAUAUAUAAUGAUACAAUUUACUCUAGUUUGUUGAGCUCCCAAGUUAUCAAAAAGUACAUUACUGAAAAAUUAUUACUUGAAAGGCAGCAUUUUAAGGGAAGGUAACUUCAUACUAUCAUGAAGCCACAAAUUCUGUUUUGUUGCUUUCCAGGAUUAUCAGAUUCAAAGGAUUUGAUGCAUUCCACAGUUUCCCGAGCCAUCCCAAUUUUUUUUUUUUAAUAGAAAAUAGCAAAAUAAUUUUAGAGAGAACAUUUAUGGUUAAUUCAAGCUGAUGAUUUCAACUAAAAGGGGGGCAAAAUUCAAAUAAUCAA
rnacentral:lncRNA from 1 species